rnacentral:lncRNA from 1 species
GAGGAGGAGGAGGAGGAGGAGGAGGAGGAGGAGGAGGAGGGGGAGGAGGCACUGCCAGCCCCCCGGGGACAUGGUGCCCUCUCUCGGGGACAGGGCCCCCACUCUCCUGCAGUUUUCCCAUCACACCAAGGACCCCUGGCCGGUUUCCCUGUGCCCCCUCGCAGGAACCCCCACAGAGGACACCUGGCCCGGGAUAACAUCCAACGAGGAGUUCAAGGCUUACAACUUCAGCCAGUACCGAGCCCAGCCGUUGAUAAAUCACGCCCCGAGGUACCCCCGGAGCAGGGACACUGCAGGAUCGGGGGGGCUGAGGGGUGUGAAGGGAUUCAUUUUCUCCUCCUGGUGCCACACCGGGGUUAUUGCAGCAAAAACCGUGCAGUUUUGGCUUUGUUUCCCCUCUCUCCCAGGCUGGACUCAGAAGGCAUCGACCUGCUGGCAAAUCUCCUCCUGUUCAGCGCCAAGGGCCGGAUCUCAGCCGAGGCAGCCCUGCAGCACCCCUACUUCAGCAGCCUGGGAGAGCGCGUUCACCUCCUGCCCGACAACGCUUCCAUCUUCUCCCUGAAGGAGAUCCAGCUCCAGAGGGACCCCGGGCACCGAGGCUCAGCCUUCCAGCACUCAGGUAAGGCUGGGCAAAAGCCGGGAUCUCUCCCAGCUGCUGCCGGGGUGGUGCUGGAGCUGGGAAGGAAGGAGCCAGAGCUGCUGCCUGGCACCUCUGCAGUCCCCAAAUCACCCCUGGGCAUCUGCGGUGUCACCUCCAGGGCACAUCUGGGUGUCCUGAGGUGCCAGAUGGGCAUCUCCUCCCCCAGAGCCCCCCUGUGACCCCCCCUGAGCCCUCUCUCCGUGUCCCUUCCCCAGCCCGAGGCAAGAACAGGAGGCAGAGUAUAUUUUAAACUCGGAUCUCGCGUUCCCCUCGUCGCCAUGGAGAUGGAAGCGCUGAGCAAGGAGAGGCUCCCAGCCGACCCUCCGCAGAAUUCCCGGCUCCAGCAGGACGAGGAUUUGGCUGUCCCCAAACCCCUGGGAGCUGUCCUCCAUGGACCUGUGGCCUUGUCCCCCCCUGGUUUUGGUGUUGUCCCCAAGGCGAGGUGCUCCAGGGAGGAGCCGCCGGCCCCUGCGCUGCCCCAGGAGGGUUUGGGGGGCACAGGGCGGGGAUUUGUGGGGUCUGGUCCGGGCAGGAGGUGCUGAAAAUGCACCUUUGCUCAGCCAAGCUGCCCUGAAGCCCCUGGUUUUUGGGGUUAGAACUGCCGGGCACGGCCCAGCCUGGCACUGGGAGCGCCUGGGGCACACCUGGGGCACACCUGGGGCACACCUGGGGCACACCUGGGGCACACCUGGGCACACCUGGGGCACAGGAACCAGGCCAACCCCCCCAAAUUUCCCUCGCCUCUGCCUGC